rnacentral:rRNA from 1 species
GAUGAACGCUAGCGGCAGGCUUAACACAUGCAAGUCGCGGGGCAGCGAGGGGAUUGGCAACAAUCCCUGUCGGCGACCGGCGCAAGGGUGCGUAACGCGUGAGCAACAUGCCCGUCUCAGGGGGAUAACCGGUGGAAACGCCGCCUAAUACCCCAUGGCGAUAUAUUGAGGCAUCUUGAUAUAUCUAAAGCUCCGGCGGAGACGGAUUGGCUCGCGUGACAUUAGCUGGACGGCGGGGUAACGGCCCACCGUGGCAACGAUGUCUAGGGGUUCUGAGAGGAAGGUCCCCCACAUUGGGACUGAGACACGGCCCAA